UACGUAGGGGCCAAGCGUUGUCCGGAUUUAUUGGGCGUAAAGAGCUCGUAGGUGGUUCGGCAAGUCGAAUGUGAAAUCUCCACGCUCAACGUGGAGGGGUCAUUCGAUACUGCUGUGACUCGAGUCCGGUAGGGGAGUGUGGAAUUCCCGGUGUAGCGGUGAAAUGCGCAGAGAUCGGGAGGAACACCCGUAGCGAAGGCGGCACUCUGGGCCGGUACUGACGCUGAGGAGCGAAAGCGUGGGGAGCAAACAGG
rnacentral:rRNA from 1 species